rnacentral:misc_RNA from 1 species
AUCGUAUGCACCACUAUCUUUCAAAACUUAUUGAGUUGAGAAGCAGCAUUGGAUCUUCAAAAGAGGAAGUUGAAAGGCUUCAGAAAGAAAAAACGGAGCUUAAAGGGAAGGAAGAGACAGCUUCCAAGGAAAUAAAAGUACUAAAGGAACAAAUUUCUAAUCUAUCAGAGAAUUUGAAAAACCUGAAGUCGGAAAAUGAGGAGAAAGACAAGCAGAUUGAAACUGCCGAAGCCCAUGUUG